AGUCAAUGCUCGCAAGAGUGAACUAGCUAACUGGAAUCAUGAGUGUGUCACUUGUGAUAAGGUAAAGGAAAAAUUAUGAUGUCACUUUACUAUUAGUGUUGUCCAAAGCUGGUGCCAGAAGACUCGGUAAGGCCAGAGACGCAAGCGUUAGUCAUCCUGAUCAGGCGUAAAGGGUUUGUAGGCAGCUUUAAAUUAAUUAAAGAUAGAAUCAUAUAGAGGUCACAGUCAGAUAAUUCUUAGAGUAGGGUUGAUAUCUGUAGAUACUAAGAGGAAUACUUAUUAGCGAAGGCACUUUUCCAAAUUAUGAUUGACGCUGAGAAACGAAGGGGAGGAUAGAUAAUAGGAUUAGAUACCCUGGUAUUCCUCUCUGUCAACGAUGAAUGGUAGUUGCUAGUAUACUAUAUUAGUGGCGAUGCUAACGCGUUAACCAUUCCGCCUUGUGAGUACGAUUGCAAAAUUGAAAACAAAAAAAUUAGUCGGUUUCGGAGCAAACGAAGUGAAGCAUGUU
rnacentral:rRNA from 1 species